AUCAAUAAGCGGAGGAAGAGAAACUAACCAGGAUUCCCCCAGUAACGGCGAGCGAAGCGGGAACAGCUCGAGCAGGCAAUCUCUGGCGUCGAUCGCCAGCGAAUUGUGGCCGGCAGAGGCGGUUGCACCCGACGCGAUCCCGCCGAAGUUGACCUGGAAAGGCACGUCGGAGAGGGUGAUAGCCCCGUGCGGGGCGGGGUCGCCGAGGGCCGCUGCCGUCUUCGGAGAGUCGGGUUGUUUGGGAGUGCAGCCCAAAGUGGGUGGUAAACUCCAUCUAAAGCCAAAUAGCGGCGCGAGACCGAUAGCGAACAAGUACCGUGAGGGAAAGGUGAAAAGCACUUUGGAAAGAGAGUUAAAGAGGCCGCGAAA
rnacentral:rRNA from 1 species